rnacentral:rRNA from 1 species
UACAGGGGGCUCGAGCGUUAGUCGGAAUCACUGGGCUUAAAGGGUGCGUAGGUGGCUCAUCAAGUGUUUUGUGAAAUCCCACAGCUCAACUGUGGAACAGCAGGGCAAACUGAUGAGCUUGAGGCAGGUAGGGGCCGGAAGAACAGUUGGUGGAGCGGUGAAAUGCGUAGAUAUCAACUGGAAUGCCGAUGGGGAAGCCGUCCGGCUGGGCCUGUCCUGACACUGAGGCACGAAAGCGUGGGGAGCAAACAGG